rnacentral:rRNA from 1 species
UACGGGGGGGGCAAGCGUUGUUCGGAAUUACUGGGCGUAAAGGGCUCGUAGGUGGCCAACUAAGUCAGACAUGAAAUCCCUCGGCUUAACCGGGGAACUGCGUCUGAUACUGGAUGGCUUGAGUUUGGGAGAGGGAUGCGGAAUUCCAGGUGUAGCGGUGAAAUGCGUAGAUAUCUGGAGGAACACCGGUGGCGAAGGCGGCAUCCUGGACCAACACUGACACUGAGGAGCGAAAGCCAGGGGAGCAAACGGG